UGGGGAAUCUUCCGCAAUGGACGAAAGUCUGACGGAGCAACGCCGCGUGGGUGACGAAGGUUUUCGGAUCGUAAAACCCUGUCAAGAAGGAAGAAAAAAGACGGUACUUCUGAAGGAAGCCCCGGCUAACUACGUGCCAGCAGCCGCGGUAAUACGUAGGGGGCAAGCGUUGUCCGGAAUUACUGGGCGUAAAGAGUACGUAGGCUGUCAAGUAAGUCUGGCGUGAAAGGCAAGGGCUCAACCCUUGGACUGCGCCGGAUACUGCGUGACUAGAGUAAUGGAGGGGGAACCGGAAUUCUCGGUGUAGCAGUGAAAUGCUUAGAUAUCACGAAGAACUCCGAUUGCGAAGGCAGCUUACUGGGGUACAACUGACACUGAGGCACGAAAGUGUGGGUAUCAAACA
rnacentral:rRNA from 1 species